CCUACGGGCGGCAGCAGUGAGGAAUAUUGGUCAAUGGCCGGAAGGCUGAACCAGCCAUGCCGCGUGAAGGUCAGUGCCCUAUGGGCGUUAAACUUCUUUUGUGCGGGAGCAAUACUGGUCACGUGUGGCCAGACGAGAGUACCGUACGAAUAAGCAUCGGAUAACUCCGUGCCAGCAGCCGCGGUAAUACGGGGGAUUCAAGCGUUAUCCGGAUUUAUUGGGGUUAAAGGGGUCGUAGGCUGUUCGGUAAGUCAGCGGUGAAAUGCCCCCGCUCAACGGGGUGAAGUGCCAUUGAUACUGCCUUGCUGGAAUGCGGAUGCGGUAGGAGGAAUGUGUGGUGUAGCGGUGAAAUGCAUAGAUAUCACACAGAACACCGAUUGCGAAGGCAUCUCACGAAGCCGCGAUUGACGCUGAUGCACGAAAGCGUGGGUAUCAAACAGGAUUAGAUACCCCAGUAGUC
rnacentral:rRNA from 1 species